GCGGCUAUAGCUCAGUAGGAUAGAGCAAUGGACUUCUAAUCCAUGUGCCGGGAGUUCGAAUCUUCCUAGCCGCACCA
rnacentral:tRNA from 1 species